UUUUAAUACAUAUAUCUCUAUUGCUUUACCGUUUGCACAUUAUGCUGUUUAAUUAUCUGCAUUAUGCUAAAUCUGUAUUCAGAUAGUUAAGUAAUUAUAUUGACUAUUUAGCGGAAUAUGUAUAUGAAGCACCACUACAGCAUUGAAUCUCUAUCCGUCUCUGAAGAAGUAGGGGCACACCUACGAAACGCGUAAGACUGUAAGGACACACAUCAGGACUCAGUUCUACCAGACAUACGUCACCCACAGUCAGCAUCCUUUCAGGACCUAUUGGUUUGUGUAUCGCUACGAAGCUGCUCACAGCACACGUCCCUCCAGAGUGAGGCUCCCGCAGGGACGCUUGGUGAAUUCACACGCUGUCCUCUCCAGCGGAAAUACCAUAAACGGCUAAGAUUUCAAUCCAUAUCCAUCCUCAUCUGUACCGAAGGUUUCUGUUUAGGUCUGACAACAUACCAUCUGGUAAUAAUGAUAUGAACUUUUCCUGAUGUG